AUUGAACGCUGGCGGCAGGCUUAACACAUGCAAGUCGAGCGAGCGGCGGACGGGUGAGUAAUGUCUGGGAAACUGCCUGAUGGAGGGGGAUAACUACUGGAAACGGUAGCUAAUACCGCAUACCAUCAGAUGUGCCCAGAUGGGAUUAGCUAGUAGGUGGGGUAAUGGUUCACCUAGGCGACGAUCCCUAGCUGGUCUGAGAGGAUGACCAGCCAAACUGGAACUGAGACACGGUCCAGACUCAUACGGGAGGCAGCAGUGGGGAAUAUUGCACAAUGGGCGCAAGCCUGAUUCAGCCAUGCCGGGUGUGUAAAGAAGGCCUUCGGGUUGUAAAGUACUUUCAGCGAGGAGGCGUUACUCGCAGAAGAAGCACCGGCUAACUCCGUGCCAGCAGCCGCGGUAAUAC
rnacentral:rRNA from 1 species